ensembl:lincRNA
GAAACCAGCCAGUACAAGUCUCACUUGAGAAACCCAUCACCAUCAAUGCUGCUACCUUCUUGCUUGAUGACAACCAGCAUGUGUUCACCCAUGACAGUCACAAGUUGAAAAAUGAAUCCAGACACUUCCCGGGUGUUGUCGGGCACAGUCGGUGCCAGGUACCAGUGCCUCAAGAUGUCUGAAGAGGAAGAGAUUAUUUAUAUAAAUAUGGAAAGUGACACUGAUGAUAGUCACAUCAGUUAUGAUGGAGAUGAACUAUUUAGUGAAGAUUUUGGUUCUGAUAUUGAGGACACGUCGAGUUUUGAGGGCUUGACCGUAGACUCUGAACUUGAAGAUUCUGACCUGGACAGCUUUGUGGAAGAAUCCCUAUCUGAGAUUGA